rnacentral:rRNA from 1 species
UAUUUUAAAGAGAGUUUGAUCCUGGCUCAGGACGAACGCUGGCGGCGUGCCUAAUACAUGCAAGUCGAACGAACGCACGCAAGAGCUUGCUCUUCCGAAAAAAGUUAGGGGCGGACGGGUGAGUAAGCACGUGGGCAACGCUGCCUGUAAAGUUGGGGGGCGAUAAGCUUGCCGGGAAAACGCGGGCUAAUACCGAAUGAUGAAAAGUGUGCGCCAAUGCCACGCUUUGAAAGAUGGAGCGCGGCUCAUCGCCCUCUAGCAGACUGGGCCCGCGGUGGCAAGUACUAGUGUGGUAAGGGUAAUGGGCCGUACCAAGGCCAACGAUGCAUCAGCCCGACCGUGCAAGAGCCGGAUCGGCGGCACACUGGGAGCUCCGAGGACAGCGCCCAGACUCCUACAGGGACGGCGACAGAUAAGGCGAUAUCUUCGCGCAAUGGCACGAAAGUCUGACGGAGCAACGGCCGCGUGUAUCAAAGACAGGUGUUCGGAACGUAAAGUACUGUUGUUAGAGAAAGAAGCAAGGAAUAAGAGUAACUGCUUGUGCCGCUUGACGGUAUCCUAACAAAGAAAGCCACGGCUAACUAGCGUGCCACCAGCCGCGGUAAUACGUAAGCGUGGGCAAGCGUUGUCCGGAUUUAAUGGGCGUAAAGGGCGCGCGCAGGCGGUCCUUUAAAGUCUGAAUGUGAAAGCCCCGGGCUAACCGGGGAAGGGUCAUGUGGGAAAAGCUGAAGACUGGACGUGGCAGAAGAGGAGAGUGGAAUUUCACGUGUAGCCGGUGAAAGGCGUAGAUAUGGUGGAGAACACACACCAGGGCGAAGGCGACUCUCUGGUCUGUAAGCUGAGCGCCUGAGGCGGCGAAAGCGUGGGGGAGGCAAAGCAGGAAUUAGAUAGCCCUGGUGAGUCGCAACGCGUAAACGAGGAGUGCUAAGUGGUUAGGGGUUCCGCCGCUUAGUGCUGCAGGCUAAGCGCAUUAAGUCAGCCCGCUCGGGGAGUAGCGAGCCGCAAGGUUGAAACGCAAAGGAAUUGAGCGGGGGCCCCGCACAAGCCGUGGGAGCAUGUGGUUUUAAUUCGAACGCAACGCGAAGAACCGUUACGAGUCCUUGACAUCCUUUCGAACACUCUGGAGAGCCAGAGCUUCCCUUCGGGGACAAAGUGACAGGUGGUGGCAUGGUUUGUUCGUGCAGCUCGUGUCCGUGAGAUGGUUUGGGUUACAGCUCCGCAAGCGAGAGCGCAAGGCCUUGAUUUAAGUUGCCAGCCAUUUUAGUUGGGCACUCUAAAGUGAACUUGGCCGUGGCAAGCCGGAGUAAGGUGGGGAUGACGUGCAAAUGCAUCAUGGCCGCCUUAUGACCUGGCCAACACACGUGCUACGCAAUCGGAUAGUACAACAGGGUCGCGAAGCCGCGGAGUGGAGCUUAAUUUUCCGCAUAAAAACUAUUCUCACAGUUUGCGAUUGUAGGCCUGCAACUCGCCUAGCAUGCAAGCCGGAAAUGCGCUAGUAAUCGUGGAUCAGCAUGGCCACGGUGAAAUACGUUUCCGGGCUUGACACAACACGCAACGUCACCACGACGAGAGUUUGUAACACGCCCGAAGUCGGUAAGGGGUAAAACUUACUGGAGCCAGCCCGCCGAAAGUGGAACAAAUAGAUUGGGGUGAAGUCCGAACAAGGUAGCCGUACGGAAAGGUGCGGCUGGAGCACCCUCCUUUGCUAAGAAA